GCCGGCCGACGCUGCCGG
rnacentral:misc_RNA from 1 species